rnacentral:rRNA from 1 species
GAGGCAGCAGUAGGGAAUAUUGGGCAAUGGGCGGAAGCCUGACCCAGCCAUGCCGCGUGAAGGAAGACGGCCUUAUGGGUUGUAAACUUCUUUACUAUGCGAAUAGAGGUUAGUACGAGGUACUAAUAGGAAGGUAGUGUAGUAAAAAGCACCGGCUAACUCCGUGCCAGCAGCCGCGGUAAUACGGAGGGUGCGAGCGUUAUUCGGAAUUACUGGGUUUAAAGGGUGCGUAGGCGGUUAUAUAAGUUGUCAGUGAAAGGCUACGGCUCAACUGUAGUAGUGCUGGCGAUACUGUAUAGCUAAGAACAUGGGAGGGGUACCUGGAAUGUGUGGUGUAGCGGUGAAAUGCGUAGAUAUCACACAGAACACCGGAGGCGAAGGCGGGGUACUAGACCAUAGUUGACGCUGAGGCACGAAAGCGUGGGUAGCAAACAGGAUUAGAUACCCUGGUAGUCCACGCCCUAAACGAUGAUCACUAGAUAUUGGCGACAAACAGUCAGUGUCCAAGCGAAAGUGAUAAGUGAUCCACCUGGGGA